AAUCUUGAUGCUUCAUAUAACCAAAGCAUCCGCCUGAGAACUACGAGCACAAACGCUUAAAACUCUAAGGACUUGGCGGUGUCCCAAACCCACCUAGAGGAGCCUGUUCUAUAAUCGAUAACCCACGAUACACCCGACCACUUCUUGCCAAAACAGCCUACAUACCGCCGUCGCCAGCUCACCUCUUUUGAGAGCGCCACAGUGAGCACAAUCGCCCUAACCCCGCUAACAAGACAGGUCAAGGUAUAGCUCAUGAAGUGGAAGAAAUGGGCUACAUUUUCUAGCUUAGAAAACUCACGAAAAGGGGCAUGAAAUAGCCCCUAGAAGGCGGAUUUAGCAGUAAAGCGGGAUAACAUAAGCCCCCUUUAAGCCGGCCUUGGGGCACGUACACAC
rnacentral:rRNA from 1 species